ensembl:lncRNA
GGAAAAAAAAUAUGCGAUUGUUGCUACGAUUAUGAGUUUAAUAGGAUCAGUUUAAUCGAAGCGUUGUGUUUAUGUGAUAAGUUUAAUCGCAAUAAUUCUCGGCUCUGCGCAUGCGCGGUGGCGCGAGGGGAGGGAGGUAAACAAGAUGGCGGCAGCCUUGAAGCAGCAGCGGCUGUGAGGAACAGAUGCGAGAAAAUAAGCGACUGAGGAGCAGAAGAGGAGCAGAAGCGCGAGUGUCCGUGUCUCGUCAAGCCGUGCCGGUGAUCGCAGCCUCAGCUCGGUAUUUCAGUCAUGGAUUUCCCGUAAUGCCGAAGUGAAGUCGGUAAUCCUCACCAAAGAGAGCGUUCACGUGCAGCUGAAGAGGAUGCAAGGUCUUCUGCGACUGAAGACUAAUAAAGCCGAAACGAACUGAAACGAAACCACACCAGCGGAUUCUCACAGACUUGUGCAGACGCGGUUUGUUUCAGGUUAUUGUUCGGAUCUGUUCGCGAUGCUUCGGUUAAACCGCAGCAGGUGUUUAUCGAUUGACUGAUCUUCCUGAUCUCCACUACUCCUUCGGAAAACAAAUAUUCCUGUCGAGCAAUCAGUAAGAGCGCGGGAUCGGCGGAGGGAGAGCGUGAGCCCCGGGAAGAUGAGUUUAGGUGGAGAGCUCCAGCAUCUGGACUACCUGACGGAGAACGAGCUCAUGGACACCUUCAUCCACCGCAUCGACUCCACCGAGGUCAUCUACCAGCCCCGACGCAAGCGCGCCAAGCUGAUCGAGAAGUACCUGAUGGGGGAUCUGCUCGGGGAAGGGUCCUACGGGAAGGUCAAGGAGAUGCUGGACUCGGAGACUCUGUGUCGCAGAGCCGUUAAGAUCCUGAAGAAGAAGAAACUGAGGAGGAUUCCCAACGGAGAGGCCAAUGUGAAAAAGGAGAUUCAGCUGCUGAGACGAUUACAGCACAAAAACAUCAUCCAGCUGGUGGAUGUGCUGUACAACGAAGAGAAGCAGAAAAUGUAUAUGGUGAUGGAGUAUUGUGUCUGUGGAAUGCAGGAAAUGUUGGACAGCGUUACAGAGAAGAGAUUUCCUGUAUUUCAAGCUCACGGGUGAGGCACGCAAACACCAGACAUCAGCUAAACACACGCGCGCACACACACACACACACUCUCUCACACACACACUCUCUCUCUCACACACACAAACACACUCUCUCUCUCUCUCUCUCUCUCUCUCUCACACACGCGCACACUCACACACACACAUGCGCACACUCUCACACACGCGCACACACACUCGCGCACAUGCGCGCACACUCUCUCUCACUCACUCACACACACACACACACACGCGCACGCUCUCACACACACGCACUCACACUCUCUCUCUCUCUCUCUCUCUCUCUCUCUCUCUCUCACUCACACACUCUCACACACGCGUGCACACUCUCGCGCACACACUCUCUCUCAAUUUCAAUUUCAAUUUAAGAGUGCUUUAUUGGCAUGACAAAAAUUAUAUAUUUGUAUUGCCAAAGCAAUUGCAGCUGGACUGCUUACAAAUAGUACACAUGUAUUAACAGAAAGAAAAAUAAUAAUAUAAUAAUGAUAUAACAUGUCA